rnacentral:rRNA from 1 species
UACGUAGGGUGCAAGCGUUGUCCGGAAUUAUUGGGCGUAAAGAGCUCGUAGGCGGUCUGUCGCGUCGGAUGUGAAAACCCAGGGCUCAACCCUGGGCCUGCAUUCGAUACGGGCAGACUAGAGUUCGGUAGGGGAGACUGGAAUUCCUGGUGUAGCGGUGAAAUGCGCAGAUAUCAGGAGGAACACCAGCGGCGAAGGCGGCGCUCUGGGCCGGAACUGACGCUGAGGAGCGAAAGCGUGGGGAGCAAACAGG